AGCGAACGCUGGCGGCAGGCCUAAAACAUGCAAGUCGAACGCCGUAGCAAUACGGAGUGGCAGACGGGUGAGUAACACGUGGGAACGUACCCUUUGGUUCGGAACAACACAGGGAAACUUGUGCUAAUACCGGAUAAGCCCUUACGGGGAAAGAUUUAUCGCCGAAGGAUCGGCCCGCGUCUGAUUAGCUAGUUGGUGAGGUAACGGCCCACCAAGGCGACGAUCAGUAGCUGGUCUGAGAGGANGAUCAGCCACACUGGGACUGAGACACGGCCCAGACUCCUACGGGAGGCAGCAGUUAGGAAUCUUGGACAAUGGGCGCAAGCCUGAUCCAGCCAUGCCGCGUGAGUGAUGAAGGCCUUAGGGUUGUAAAGCUCUUUCAGCGGGGAAGAUAAUGACGGUACCCGCAGAAGAAGCCCCGGCUAACUUCGUGCCAGCCGCCGCAGUAAC
rnacentral:rRNA from 1 species